ensembl:lncRNA
UCUCUGUGCCGGCCGCCCCCGCGCUGUCGCGCAGACGACGUGGUGUCCAAUUACUUCACUCAGGGGAAGCGCUCUCAGCGCUCGGGCCUUCUGCGCGUCUUCGGCCUCCUCCGGGACGCGGUGCUGCCGCGCCGACAGAAGAUCUACUGAGCGCCCCACACUGCGCCCCACACACACGGGGGGGGCUCUGCCCCAUAGCGCCGCGGCUCUGCCCCAUAGAGAUGCGGCUCUGCCCCAUAGCGCCGCGGCUCUGCCCCAUAGAGAUGCGGCUCUGCCCCAUAGAGAUGUGGCUCUGCCCCAUAGCUGUACAGCUCUGCCCAUAGAGAUGCGGCUCUGCCCCAUAGCUGUGAGGCUCUGCCCCAUAGCUGUACAGCUCUGCCCAUAGAGAGGCAGCUCUGCCCCAUAACGCCGCGGCUCUGCCCCAUAGCGCUGCGGCUCUGCCCCAUAGCACCGCGGCUCUGCCCCAUAGCUGUGAGGCUCUGCCCCAUAGCGCCGCGGCUCUGCCCCAUAGUGCGGCUGUGCCCCAUAGCACCACGGCUCUGCCCCAUAGAGAUGUGGCUCUGCCCCAUAGCGCCGCGGCUCUGCCCCAUAGAGAUGUGGCUCUGCCCCAUAGCUGUACAACUCUGCACAUAGAGAGGCAGCUCUGCCCCAUAGCGCCGCGGCUCUGCCCCAUAGCGCUGCGGCUCUGCCCCAUAGCGCCACGGCUCUGCCCCAUAGAGAUGUGGCUCUGCCCCAUAGCUGUGAGGCUCUGCCCCAUAGCGCCGCGGCUCUGCCCCAUAGAGAUGUGGCUCUGCCCCAUAGCUGUACAACUCUGCCCAUAGAGAGGCAGCUCUGCCCCAUAACGCCGCGGCUCUGCCCCAUAGCGCUGCGGCUCUGCCCCAUAGCACCGCGGCUCUGCCCCAUAGCUGUGAGGCUCUGCCCCAUAGCGCCGCGGCUCUGCCCCAUAGUGCGGCUGUGCCCCAUAGCGCCGCGGCUCUGCCCCAUAGCUGUACAGCUCUGCCCAUAGCAAUGCGGCUCUGCCCCAUAGAGAUGUGGCUCUGCCCCAUAGCUGUACAGCUCUGCCAAUAGAGAGGCAGCUCUGCCCCAUAGCGCCGCGGCUCUGCCCAUAGAGAUGUGGCUCUGCCCCAUAGAGAUGUGGCUCUGCCCCAUAGCUGUGAGGCUGUGCCCCAUAGCACCACGGCUCUGCCCCAUAGAGAUGUGGCUCUGCCCCAUAGCUGUGCGGCUCUGCCCCAUAGAGAUGUGGCUCUGCCAAUAGGGAUGUGGCUCUGCCCCAUAGCGCCGCGGCUCUGCCCCAUAGCACUGCGGCUCUGCCCCAUAGCGCCGCGGCUCUGCCCAUAGCGCCACGGCUCUGCCCCAUAGAGAUGUGGCUCUGCCCCAUAGCUGUGAGGCUCUGCCCCAUAGCGCCGCGGCUCUGCCCCAUAGAGAUGUGGCUCUGCCCCAUAGCUGUACAACUCUGCACAUAGAGAGGCAGCUCUGCCCCAUAGCUGUGAGGCUCUGCCACAUAGCAGUGCAGCUCUGCCCAUAGAGAUGUGGCUCUGCCCCAUAGAGAUGUGGCUCUGCCCCAUAGCUGUGAGGCUCUGCCCCAUAGCACUGCGGCUCUGCCCAUAGCAGUGUGGCUCUGCCCCAUAGCGAUGCGGCUCUGCCCCACAGCACUGCGGCUCUGCCCCAUAGCACCACGGCUCUGCCCAUAGAGAUGUGGCUCUGCCCCAUAGAGAUGUGGCUCUGCCCCACAGCUGUGCAGCUCUGCCCCCCCUCCCCCCCCCCCGGCCCUGUGAAGGACUGUAAUAUGGGGGGGGGGGGGAAUGGAUGUAGGGGGGGGGGCUGAGGAUGGCCGCCCCACAGCGGCCCCACAGUGCGUCGUGACCCCCCCUUCCCCCCCCCCCCCCCCCCCCCAACGGUGUCGGGCUGAGGUUGACGCAGAACUGUCGGUUAAUUAAAGUUAAUUGUAAUUAGUAAUGAAA